rnacentral:rRNA from 1 species
GUCCACGCCGUAAACGAUGAAUACUAGGUGUUGGGAAGCAUUGCUUCUCGGUGCCGCGCAAACGCAGUAAGUAUUCCACCUGGGGAGUACGUUCGCAAGAAUGAAACUCAAAGGAAUUGACGGGGAUCCGCACAAGCGGUGGAGCAUGUGGUUUAAUUCGAAGCAACGCGAAGAACCUUACCAAGUCUUGACAUCCUUCUGACCGGUACUUAAUCGUACCUUCUCUUCGGAGCAGGAGUGACAGGUGGUGCAUGGUUGUCGU